CUGGCUCAGGAUUAACGCUGGCGGCGUGCCUAAUACAUGCAAGUCGAAUGGUAGUAGCAAUACAAACCAUGGCGAACGGGUGAGUAACACGUAGGUAACCUGUCUUUAAGACGAGGAUAACCGUUGGAAACGACGGAUAAUACUGGAUAGGACAUUAAAUGGGGCAUCCCAAAAUGUUUAAAGAUUAUUAUGUCACUUAGAGAGGGGCCUGCGGCGCAUUAGCUAGUUGGUGAGAUAGCAGCCCACCAAGGCGAUGAUGCGUAGCCGGACUGAGAGGUUGAACGGCCACAAUGGGACUGAGAACGGCCCAUACUCCUACGGGAGGCAGCAGUAGGGAAUUUUCGGCAAUGGGCGCAAGCCUGACCGAAGCAACGCCGCGUGAACGAAGAAGUUAUUCGUAAUGUAAAGUUCUUUUAUCUGGGAAGAAAAACAAAUUGACGGUACCAGAUGAAUAAGCUCCGGCUAACUACGUGCCAGCAGCAGC
rnacentral:rRNA from 1 species